UGGGGAAUAUUGCGCAAUGGGCGAAAGCCUGACGCAGCGACGCCGCGUGAGGGAUGAAGGCCUUCGGGUUGUAAACCUCUUUCAGCAGGGACGAAGCGAAAGUGACUGUACCUGCAGAAGAAGCACCGGCUAACUACGUGCCAGCAGCCGCGGUAAUACGUAGGGUGCAAGCGUUGUCCGGAAUUAUUGGGCGUAAAGAGCUCGUAGGCGGUUUGUCGCGUCGGAUGUGAAAACUUGGGGCUCAACCCCAAGCCUGCAUUCGAUACGGGCAAACUAGAGUUCGGUAGGGGAGACUGGAAUUCCUGGUGUAGCGGUGAAAUGCGCAGAUAUCAGGAGGAACACCGAUGGCGAAGGCAGGUCUCUGGGCCGAUACUGACGCUGAGGAGCGAAAGCGUGGGGAGCGAACAGG
rnacentral:rRNA from 1 species